GGGCUUGUAAAGGUUUCGACGGGGGUUUAGCAGUCAGGAUAGCCAUCUGUGGCCCCGAACCACAUUAAAAGCGGGAAAACUUAAAUAUAAACGCAGAACCUAAGUUAGCGUUAGCAGCGUAAUUAACGCUGCUGUCGGCUCCGGAUAGCCUACUGUUCGGUCCACCGGCAUCAAAAAGGUAGGGAACCCUGCUUUCAAAGCUUUGAGGAAGCGGGAGAAAUAUGAAGCUACUAAAAUGCGGAGACUGUCAUUUGCCGCCGCAUGGAGGGAAUGUCAAAGAAAUGACUGUGAUGGAAGAAGUCCUGAUGAAAGAGCUUUCGGACGCGGGUUCGAUUCCCGCC
rnacentral:tmRNA from 1 species